rnacentral:rRNA from 1 species
GAGGAAUUUUGCGCAAUGGGGGAAACCCUGACGCAGCAACGCCGCGUGAGUGAAGAAGGCUUUCGGGUCGUAAAGCUCUGUCAAGAGGGAAGAAGGGGGGGUGCAGUAAUUCUGCAUUUUUUUGACGGUACCUCUGAAGGAAGCACCGGCUAACUCCGUGCCAGCAGCCGCGGUAAUACGGGGGGUGCAAGCGUUAUUCGGAUUUAUUGGGCGUAAAGAGCGCGUAGGCGGUUUAUCAAGUCAGAUGUGAAAGCCCUGGGCUCAACCCGGGAAGUGCAUUUGAAACUAGUAGACUUGAGUAUGGGAGAGGGGAGUGGAAUUCCUGGUGUAGAGGUGAAAUUCGUAGAUAUCAGGAGGAACACCGGUGGCGAAGGCGACUUCCUGGACCAAUACUGACGCUGAGGCGCGAAGGCGUGGGGAGCAAAC